AGGGUAGAGAGACGAUAAUAUCGAAACAAUAAGGAAGCGGUUGAAGGUUUUCGAGAACUCAAGCCUCCCUGUAAUUGAAUAUUAUCGCAGUGGGAAUACUUCAAGAGAUCAAUAGUGAGAUGCCUGUGGAGGAGGUUUUUAAGGAGAUCGCACAAGUUUUUUGAACUCUUGGAAAGAGCUGGAGAAAAUUUUGUUUCUCCGGGGAAAAGCUAUGGAACUGGAGUUGGAUCAACCUGAUUAUGGAGAGUGAUGCUCAAACAUCAAAAUGCAAUAAGGCUACUUUUAAUGAGACCUGCAGUACAAUGAUUUAGAUUAAUCAUUUCUUAUUUUCUCUCUAGAUUCUCAAACUGUUUGUUUAACUUUUCACCAUGUUGUGCAAUGUUUUAUGAUUAUCAGUUUUUAAUUUCCCUCAUUUUUAAGUA